rnacentral:ncRNA from 2 species
UAGUAGCAAUAAACGUUCCACAUGUAAA